CAGCUCCAGCUCGAGACAAGUUACAAAUCUGGCAUCUCCCCAACAACGUAGAACAUUGCCCAGGCUGAGGAGAAACCUGGUAGAAGUCUGUACGAUUACGAGACGCACAGACUGAAUAGAACUGCCACUCAAUGGAUUGUUUGUGGUUUUUACGCCAUUCUGUCUAUUGUGUGUGAAAAUCCCAG